CAAGGAAUAUUGUGCAAUGGGCGAAAGCCUGACACAGCGACACCGCGUGAGGGAAGAAGGCCUUCGGGUUGUAAACCUCUUUUUUCAGGGAGGAGUAAGGACAGUACCUGAGGAAUAAGCCACGGCUAACUACGUGCCAGCAGCUGCGGUAAAACGUAGGUGGCGAGCGUUAUCCGGAUUUAUUGGGCGUAAAGAGGGCGCAGGCGGCAUGGUAAGUCGAAUGUGAAAUCUCCUGGCUUAACUGGGAGGCGUCGUUCGAUACUAUCAAGCUUGAGUGCGACAGGGGGGGGUAGAAUUCCCGGUGUAGUGGUGAAAUGCGUAGAUAUCGGGAGGAAUACCAGUGGCGAAGGCGGCCUCCUGGGUCGUUACUGACGCUUAAGCCCGAAAGCGUGGGGAGCAAACAG
rnacentral:rRNA from 1 species